rnacentral:tRNA from 1 species
GCUAUUUUGGCAGAUUAGUGCGAUAGAUUUAGAAUUUAUUUAUGUAAUUUAGAUUACAAAUAGUA